GGGAACGUAUUCACGGCGUUAUAGCUGACACGCCAUUACUAGCAAUUCCAACUUCAUGUAGUCGAGUUGCAGACUACAAUCUGAACUGGGGCCGGUUUUAUGGGAUUUGCUCCCCCUCGCGGGUUGGCUGCCCUCUGUACCGGCCAUUGUAGCACGUGUGUAGCCCUAGGCAUAAGGGCCAUGCUGACUUGACGUCAUCCUCACCUUCCUCCUGGUUAACCCAGGCAGUCUCAUUAGAGUUCCCAGCUUCACCUGUUGGCAACUAAUGACAAGGGUUGCGCUCGUUGCGGGACUUAACCCAACACCUCACGGCACGAGCUGACGACAGCCAUGCAGCACCUGUUUAGCAGUCCCGAAGGAAAGCACCAUCUCUGGUGCGGUCUACUAUAUGUCAAGCCUAG
rnacentral:rRNA from 1 species